AGCCAUUAAUUGAUACAAAAGCUAAGAAUAAGAAAUAAAUACGGGUUAUGAAUUUAAAAACAAUGAAUUAAUAAUUUAGGAACGUGUUCAGAACACAUAACUAAACCUAAUCACUAAAAAGAAUUAAGAUAAAAUUAAAUGAAUGAAGGGAUGGGUCCUACUCCGAAAUGACUCGAAGAUGCCGAUGCGGAAGUGCCUUGAUGCCAGGAUUCUAUGCCUCGUUUCUAAGACCUGAAUGGGGGC
rnacentral:lncRNA from 1 species